rnacentral:rRNA from 1 species
UGGGGAAUUUUGGACAAUGGGCGAAAGCCUGAUCCCAGCAAUGCCGCGUGUGUGAAGAAGGCCUUCGGGUUGUAAAGCACUUUUGUCCGGAAAGAAAUCCUUGGCUCUAAUACAGUCGGGGGAUGACGGUACCGGAAGAAUAAGCACCGGCUAACUACGUGCCAGCAGCCGCGGUAAUACGUAGGGUGCAAGCGUUAAUCGGAAUUACUGGGCGUAAAGCGUGCGCAGGCGGUUUGCUAAGACCGAUGUGAAAUCCCCGGGCUCAACCUGGGAACUGCAUUGGUGACUGGCAGGCUAGAGUAUGGCAGAGGGGGGUAGAAUUCCACGUGUAGCAGUGAAAUGCGUAGAGAUGUGGAGGAAUACCGAUGGCGAAGGCAGCCCCCUGGGCCAAUACUGACGCCUCAUGCACAGAAGCGUGGGGAGCAAACAGGAUUAGAUACCCUGGUAGUCCACGCCCUAAACGAUGUCAACUAGUUGUUGGGGAUUCAUUUCCUUAGUAACGUAGCUAACGCGUGAAGUUGACCGCCUGGGGAGUACGGUCGCAAGAUUAAAACUUAAAUGAAUUGACGGGGUCAUAGCUGUUUCCU